GAUGAAGAACGCAGCGAAAUGCGAUAAGUAAUGUGAAUUGCAGAAUUCAGUGAAUCAUCGAAUCUUUGAACGCACCUUGCGCCCUUUGGCCAUUCCGAAGGGCGUGCCUGUUUGAGUAUCAUGAACACCUCAACUCUUUAUGGUUUUCCAUGAUGAGCUUGGACUCUGGGGGUUUUGCUGGCUCACAGUCGGCUCCUCUAAAAUGAAUCAGCUUACCAGUGUUUGGUGGGUAUCAUGGGUGUGAUAACUAUCUACGCUUGUGGUUUUUCCACCAGGUAACCUUCAGCAGUGGAGGUUCGCUGGAGCUCAUAGAUGUCUCUCCUCAGUGAGGACAGCCCUUUGAAUGUUUGACCUCAAAUCAGGUAGGACUACCCGCUGAACUUAAGCAUAUCAAUAAGCGGAGGA
rnacentral:misc_RNA from 1 species